rnacentral:rRNA from 1 species
UACGUAGGCAGCGAGCGUUGUUCGGAAUUACUGGGCGUAAAGGGUGUGUAGGCGGUGCUCCCAGUCUGUUGUGAAAUCUCCCGGCUUAACUGGGAGGGUGCAGCGGAAACUAGAGUGCUAGAGGGUGGGAGAGGUAAGCGGAAUUCCUGGUGUAGCGGUGAAAUGCGUAGAUAUCAGGAGGAACACCUGUGGUGAAGACAGCUUACUGGGCCACUUCUGACGCUGAGACGCGAAAGCGUGGGUAGCAAACAGG